rnacentral:miRNA from 1 species
AUAAAACAAAAGAGAAAACACAACAGCAAAUCAGAAAACACAACGACAUGAACCAUUGUGGUUUCUUUAUUGUGUUGUGUUUUCUAAUUUGCUGUUGUGUUUUCUCUCAUUUGUUGUU